rfam:Salmo salar isolate Sally breed double haploid chromosome ssa26, whole genome shotgun sequence.
UGCACGCAUGACUGUAAGUCGCGUUUGGAUAAAAGCAUCUGCUAAAUGGCGUAGG